GAGCUGGUGGAUGGGCGUGCCGCGUGGCAUGGACACGGGCGUCCUCGAGAGCACCCUGUGAACGUCGCCCGCUGAGACUUUUAAUCCUCGUGUCCUGGGUUCGAAUCCCAGCCGGCUCACCA
rnacentral:tRNA from 1 species